rnacentral:rRNA from 1 species
AGAGUUUGAUCCUGGCUCAGGAUGAACGCUGGCGGCGUGCCUAAUACAUGCAAGUCGAGCGAACAGACGAGGAGCUUGCUCCUCUGACGUUAGCGGCGGACGGGUGAGUAACACGUGGAUAACCUACCUAUAAGACUGGGAUAACUUCGGGAAACCGGAGCUAAUACCGGAUAAUAUAUUGAACCGCAUGGUUCAAUAGUGAAAGACGGUUUUGCUGUCACUUAUAGAUGGAUCCGCGCCGCAUUAGCUAGUUGGUAAGGUAACGGCUUACCAAGGCGACGAUGCGUAGCCGACCUGAGAGGGUGAUCGGCCACACUGGAACUGAGACACGGUCCAGACUCCUACGGGAGGCAGCAGUAGGGAAUCUUCCGCAAUGGGCGAAAGCCUGACGGAGCAACGCCGCGUGAGUGAUGAAGGUCUUCGGAUCGUAAAACUCUGUUAUUAGGGAAGAACAAAUGUGUAAGUAACUAUGCACGUCUUGACGGUACCUAAUCAGAAAGCCACGGCUAACUACGUGCCAGCAGCCGCGGUAAUACGUAGGUGGCAAGCGUUAUCCGGAAUUAUUGGGCGUAAAGCGCGCGUAGGCGGUUUUUUAAGUCUGAUGUGAAAGCCCACGGCUCAACCGUGGAGGGUCAUUGGAAACUGGAAAACUUGAGUGCAGAAGAGGAAAGUGGAAUUCCAUGUGUAGCGGUGAAAUGCGCAGAGAUAUGGAGGAACACCAGUGGCGAAGGCGACUUUCUGGUCUGUAACUGACGCUGAUGUGCGAAAGCGUGGGGAUCAAACAGGAUUAGAUACCCUGGUAGUCCACGCCGUAAACGAUGAGUGCUAAGUGUUUAGGGGGUUUCCGCCCCUUAGUGCUGCAGCUAACGCAUUAAACACUCCGCCUGGGGGAGUACGACCGCAAGUUGAAACUCAAAGGAAUUUGACGG